rnacentral:rRNA from 1 species
UACCAGCACCCCGAGUGGUCGGGACGUUUAUUGGGCCUAAAGCAUCCGUAGCCGGUUCUACAAGUCUUCCGUUAAAUCCACCUGCUUAACAGAUGGGCUGCGGAAGAUACUAUAGAGCUAGGAGGCGGGAGAGGCAAGCGGUACUCCAUGGGUAGGGGUAAAAUCCGUUGAUCCAUUGAAGACCACCAGUGGCGAAGGCGGCUUGCCAGAACGCGCUCGACGGUGAGGGAUGAAAGCUGGGGGAGCAAACCGG